rnacentral:rRNA from 1 species
GAUGAACGCCGGCGGCGUGCCUAAUACAUGCAAGUCGAGCGAACGGACGAGAAGCUUGCUUCUCUGAUGUUAGCGGCGGACGGGUGAGUAACACGUGGAUAACCUACCUAUAAGACUGGGAUAACUUCGGGAAACCGUAGCUAAUACCGGAUAAUAUUUUGAACCGCAUGGUUCAAAAGUGAAAGACGGUCUUGCUGUCACUUAUAGAUGGAUCCGCGCUGCAUUAGCUAAUUGGUAAGGUAACGGCUUACCAAGGCAACGAUGCAUAGCCGACCUGAGAGGGUGAUCGGCCACACUGGAACUGAGACACGGUCCAGACUCCUACGGGAGGCAGCAGUAGGGAAUCUUCCGCAAUGGGCGAAAGCCUGACGGAGCAACGCCGCGUGAGUGAUGAAGGUCUUCGGAUCGUAAAACUCUGUUAUUAGGGAAGAACAUAUGUGUAAGUAACUGUGCACAUCUUGACGGUACCUAAUCAGAAAGCCACGGCUAACUACGUG